CUCAUUAGCUAGUUGGUAGGGUAAUGGCCUACCAAGGCAACGAUGAGUAGCUGGUCUGAGAGGAUGAUCAGCCACACUGGAACUGAAACACGGUCCAGACUCCUACGGGAGGCAGCAGUGGGGAAUAUUGCGCAAUGGGCGAAAGCCUGACGCAGCAACGCCGUGUGAGGGAUGAAGGCUUUCGGGUCGUAAACCUCUGUCGGAAGGGAAGAACGGGCAUUGGUCUAAUAGGCCUUUGUUUUGACGGUACCUUUAGAGGAAGCACCGGCUAACUCCGUGCCAGCAGCCGCGGUAAUACGGAGGGUGCAAGCGUUAUUCGGAAUUACUGGGCGUAAAGCGCACGUAGGCGGCCUUGUAAGUCAGGGGUGAAAUCCCACGGCUCAACCGUGGAACUGCCUUUGAAACUGCAGGGCUUGAAUCCUGGAGAGGGUGGCGGAAUUCCUGGUGUAGGAGUGAAAUCCGUAGAUAUCAGGAGGAACACCGGUGGCGAAGGCGGCCACCUGGACAGGCAUUGACGCUGAGGUGCGAAAGUGUGGGGAGCAAACAGGAUUAGAUACCCUGGUAGUCCACACCGUAAACGAUGGAUACUAGGUGUCGGGGACUUGAUCUUCGGUGCCGUAGCUAACGCGUUAAGUAUCCCGCCUGGGGGAGUACGGUCGCAAGGCUGAAACUCAAAGAA
rnacentral:rRNA from 1 species